AGAGAAAAUGUGCAGAAGAAUCUUGUGGUCUUUGCUUGCCUGGAAAAUGAGUUCAAUAAAAUGGAGGUGAUCAGCGCUUAUUUAUAGGGCAAACUGAUACAUCCCGCAUUGGCCGUCAGAGCCUAACUUAGUGUUUUCUCAUUUACAGUCACUCUGUUGUGAAGCACAUCUCUGCACCGAGGGCACUCGUGGAGCUUCCAGCAAUUGCAGCGGUGGAAGAAGUAGAGGAGACACUUGCAGAUAAAGGGAUGUUUUCCUCUCUGUUUCUAAGCUUCAGGAGCCUUCAGAGGUAGCCGUCUGUAGAGCUGUAGUUUGAGGCAAAGAGAGAGUGAUGGAUUUGCCAUUCCAAACCAGCCGUAGGUGGAGCCUGUGCCCAUCGGAGAGCUCCUGGAGGUUGAAACUGCAAUUCUGACGGCCAUUUGGGGAAGAGCCAAUGGGUGCCAAGUGUUUAUGACGUGACAAGUACAUCUGCAUCACGGAUGGUGAGGCCAGCCAAGGCAGAGGCUCACAGAUGGAACUGCAGGCCACAGCAUCACCCCAUCUCUCAAUCUUAUGACAGCUGACUAUCAAGAAAUUUCUGUAAAAAGAAAUCAUUAAAUAAAAAAGAUACCUGCACU
rnacentral:lncRNA from 10 species